UCUUUCCUGGCUGGCCCCAAGUGACUCUGUGUUCCCAUUGCUUUUGAAAUCACUGCAGUUUGCUCAGCCUGAAAGAUUACAGCUAUAGGAAAACUUACGUUUCAGUGUUCUAUUUUAAAAAGGAACAGCAGAACUUUAUAAAUAGCAUCACUACUGGUUUUCUUUCUGACUGUGGCAUCUCCAGCCCAAGUACAUAGAUGCAAUUUCCAAAGCACUAAGAAAUGUCUUAGGUCACAUUUAAGCCGGGUCAGCCAAAUCCAGGAUCAGUGAAAAAAUGACUUGUUCAUCUGUUCUGGAAUGAGAUCUUUCUUCCCACCAUUCUUAGUUAUAAAGAUAUCUUUUGUGUGGUUGUCGCUAAAUUUAAGCCCGGGCUGAGCGUAUUUAUUUGUGCACUAUCUACAUGCAUUUUAUGCAUCAGCAGUGCAUAGUGGUAGGCUGCACGCACAAUUAGGGCUUUAUGACUUUUGAAGUCACCUAAUACAAAGAUUUAUGUAUUUGCAGCAAUAAAAACCUGUGAUGGGGAUGGAUGUUUUGCAGACCUACAGCCUGAUUCUCCUUUGUGCGGUCUUGGUUUAGCUCCACUGCCUGCAGUGGCACCAAUCCUCACACCACCUGAGCGCCACAAGAACAGAAGAAGGAAACCCACCCCCAGUGCAAGCCUGGGGAGGUUGGAUCCCGCAUAGCUCACUCUUAUUUCAGACCGUAGCCCUGCGCAGAGUGGGCCUGGCAACAGGAAGGAAACCUUGCAGGAUGCUCCUUGCACCGAGCAGCUCAUGCAGCAUUGUCACCGUGUCGUGGGGGCUUCCAGGGCACCAAAAGCACAGGUGUGUGCAUGGAAGUGAAGGGAACGUAAGCUUUCGAUGAGGAGCCGGGUUAAUGGAUACUGAAGAUGGUGGUGGUAGGGAGAAUGGUAAAGGAAAAUUCAGGAGCUGGUUUUACCUCUUUCAGUUUUGAAGGCUCCUAGGCAAAAUGGCUCAGAGCCGUCCAGCUAUGGGGAAAAAAAAAGGGAAAAAAAAAGAGAAUCCUUUUGCAUAGGUUUUGAUUUGUUGUGUUUGUUGGGGGUUUUUUUCAUGACGAUGGGAAACAGAGCGUAGCCAAACUCCUGACAUUUCAUGAGUUAUAAAUAUUGUACAAAAUUAUACUUCUGGCACCAGAAAAUGCUUUCUCCUGUUGUUCAAAGUGACUCCAGAUGCUGAUGUAUUUAGUGUACUGCGCAAGCACGCGGACCGGAAUGAAAAAGCGAAGUAAAUGAGUUUACAUUCAUCUGUCAAUAUUCCUAAGGGACGGCCUGUUCAGGCUGCCAAGUCUGCUCUGCGUAUGCGUGCAUAACUUCAGCGGGCCAGAGAUUCCCACAGUGGAAUCUCCUCCAUGAGCAGGGGCGCUCUGCCGCCGCAACCUGGUGGAGGUGGUGACCGCUCCCCUUCUGAGUGUCCUCCAUCUCCUGCAGGAUUGGCAGAAAGAGCUUUCCAAAGGACCUGGGCAUUUUACGUUUUAAAUAGCUAUAUGUUUCACUGACUGCUGUCCCUCACUUGAGACAGUCCCAUGAAAAGGGAUUUUGACUAUACAAACAGCAGCAAUUUCCAUCCCAAACGCUGGAGUGAUUUGAUGCCCAUGAAAAAAGCAAACAAGGCACAUGUGAGAGAAGAAGCUGCUGUGGCCAAUGUCCAGCAUAUGUUGGAAACACAUGGAAGAAAGAAGAAAAGAUGAGAGAAUUCAAGAGAUGAAGCGUCAAUGGAAUCGUGAAGGCUGGAAAAGACCGCUAAGUUCAUCUAGUCUUCACCAUCAGCCCAUCCCCAGAAUGCCCACUAACCCAUGUCCCUCAGUGCCAAUGAGAGAGGCAAGCGGUGAGAAAGGGGUAAGUAGUGUUUUGCUCAAAGUGACCAAUGUCCUUCACUCAGCAGCUAUCCUCAACCAUGCCAGUGUCCCAGGCUAAGCAGCCCUCACCAAACUUGUCUGCACAGAGACUGACCCAAGCCAACAUCUUCUGUAAGGGAAAGCAAACAGGAGGGUGGGCACAUGCACCUCUUUUAAGGCUGGAAUAUUGCCACAUAGCCAAACUGUGUUCACAGACUCAACAGACCUUAGUCUGUUCUAGGCCUCUAGGGCACCUCCUCUGUAUUUCUGUCCUAUAAAGUACGGGAAGUGACUAAGAUCAGUGCCUCAUUCCUCUGCUCACCUCUGCUCACUGCAGCAAUACAGCUGUGUUCCUCAAAUUUUCUUGCUCAACCUCAGAUUCCUUCACUCAUCCUCGAUUCAGCCUAAGGGAAUGUCAUUUGUGGUGAAUAAGAAACCUGGCAGAAAUGACAUUUUCCUCUCUUUGUUCUGUGCAGUCUAGGAUGGGGUAAGUUAUGGUGAUAAAACGCAAGACCUUUACACCCAUCACCCCCCUUCACCUCCCAGAGGGAUGGCCAAAAUGUACCUUGGCACCAGAACCAAAGACAAAUGUCAAUAUAUUUUCCUGGCUGUUAGAAACAAAAUGUUUCCCAGUGUCCACAAAGCCUUUACCUUGGGCAGCUGGGCUCCAGGAUGGACUCGUCCAGCCUGCAUCAGGCUGAGCUCCAUGCUGCCAGGGCCUUGCUUUGGCUGAAGAUGCUGAGAGAUCCACUGGGAUCCCUGGAGCGUUCUGUGGAGAUGUAUGGGGACUCAAGUGUCUCCCUUUUACCAGCAGCAAGUUAUGGAAGGGCCAUGACAGGAGUGCCAUUGCUCAUCACCCUCACAACAUGCCGAGCCUUGGAGCCCACGCUGUUUCUAGCUGCCUGAAUGUAACCAUGGUGAAGACUCAGCUUUAGAGCAGUCCAGCAGUUCUUCUGUUUUGGAAUCUUCAUGUUUUACCAAUAAUAUUUAGUAUUAUUUGAUCUUAGCUUUGUUUCCCAGAAUUUUGUCAAGGAACACCAUAAGAAAUAUAGCAACAUCUUCAGGAAAGAAGGAAAUCCAUGCAUCCCAUCCUGGAUUACUUUUGUAACAAUGAAGAAUGAUAUAAUGAUAAACAGCUACUGAAUUUUAUUUCAGAAGAAUAUUGAUAGAAAAUUAAGAAUAUCACAGGAAAAGGGCUUAAGUGUUCAUUGGUGCCUAUGGGAAAUGCUGGUCACCUACAUGCUUCAGUAAUCCAAGGUAUAUGGGAUAUUUGUUGGAUAAUGCAAGUGUUCCCUAGUCAGUCAUUUGACCUUCUCCACCCAAAAGCAGAAGCUAAACCCAUUUGUAUCAUUCCCACAUCACUGACUUCAACAAAGCAGAUGUUUCAGCACGUUUAGAAGGAUUCUUCCCAAUCCAGUGGAAAGAAGAAAUAUUACAGAGAAAGGCAGAGUCAUUCACCCUCCAGAAAAGAAUUAUUUGGCUGCUGUGAGGCUAUUUCUCCUCCCAUGAGAGUAGAUGCAUGCAGUCAGCAAUUAGCCAGAGUUUUCUUAAUAUCUGGGAGAAAAUCCUAGUGAUCAAAGUGAGAAUUGUUUUGUCCUAUAUGGAGGGAUAUGUUUUCUCAUUAUGUGCGUACACUGCUCAGUGCUGGGGGGCUGAAUAGCUGCCUAACCAGUGUCAGAUUAGGAUGUGCAAACAUCUUGCUCACCAGUAGUGUGCUUAGUGGACUGCUGAGGGAUAUCUUUGCUUCAGAAGACAGUAAAUAAAAUUGCUUCUUAUGUCUCGA